rnacentral:rRNA from 1 species
AGCGAACGCUGGCGGCAUGCCUAACACAUGCAAGUCGCACGGGGGGGCUUCGGCCUCCCAGUGGCGGACGGGUGAGGAACGCGUAGGGACCUGUCGAGGGGUGGGGGAUAACCGCGGGAAACUGCGGCUAAUACCGCAUGACGCCGCGGCGUGACAGCCGGGGCCAAAGGCGAAAGCCGCCCGCCGAGGGGCCUGCGUCCGAUUAGCUGGUUGGCGGGGUAGCGGCCCACCAAGGCGUCGAUCGGUAGCUGGUCUGAGAGGGUGAUCAGCCACACCGGGACUGAGACACGGCCCGGACUCCUACGGGAAGCAGCAGUGGGGAAUAUUGGACAAUGGGCGCAAGCCUGAUCCAGCAAGGCCGCGUGGGUGAAGAAGGUCUUCGGAUUGUAAAGCCCUUUCGGUGGGGACGAUGGUGACGGUACCCGCAGAAGAAGCCCCGGCUAACUUCGUG